UGAAUAUCUAGAUUAGAUUUAAUUAAAUUUUUAUUCAUUAUAAUUAUUAAAACUUAAUUACUGCUUGAUUUGUGGAAUAAAAAUUAAUUUCCCUAUUUUUUGAAAAUUAGUCUUUAAAAGUAGGUUUCUAGGUAAUUUCUCCUAAAUUUUAAGUGAUGCAAAGGCCUGACACUUGGGCUGAUCUCUAUAUGGGCCUAUUGUACAUUUGAGCUUGAGCUAUGGUCCUAUCUGGGCUAUUUUGUUGCUUUGGACCUAUUUUCAAAAUUUGGUAUUCUUACUAGGCGUCUUGCAUUGGAUUGGCACACGAGGAAAAAUUUGCUUAAUUUCUCGAUUUGGUAUGGAUGCAAAUAGCUAUGAAAAUUGGGGUUCUCAUAUCCCUCUCCUAUCACAAACCAAGGGCAAUAAAAAGCAUGGCCGGAUGGGUGCCUGGAAAUAUACAAAUUUGAAGCUACUAAUUGCUGAUGGAUUUUUCUUAUCUUCCCCAAUAAACUUUAAAUCAUUUGCUUCUUUCUAAUUUCUACGAAUAUUCUACUAUGAUCCUGCAGCUGCCAUACUCUAUAUAUGAAGAUCAAUAGUCAAAAGAAGGAAUGAAGCCCCUAAAUUGAUAACAUGAGAUUUUAUUAUUCAUUUUGUCUACUUUCUAAUGGAGCCCAAAUUUUGAGUUUGAUACAUUUGUCUAAUAAAGUUGCUGAUUUUGGUUAAAUGCUCCAAUA
rnacentral:lncRNA from 1 species